UGGGCGUAAAGGGAGCGCAGGUGGUUUCUUAAGUCUGAUGUGAAAGCCCACGGCUUAACCGUGGAGGGUCAUUGGAAACUGGGAAACUUGAGUACAGAAGAGGAAUGUGGAACUCCAUGUGUAGCGGUGGAAUGCGUAGAUAUAUGGAAGAACACCAGUGGCGAAGGCGACAUUCUGGUCUGUUACUGACACUGAGGCUCGAAAGCGUGGGGAGCAAACAGGAUUAGAUACCCUGGUAGUCCACGCCGUAAACGAUGAGUGCUAGGUGUUGGAGGGUUUCCGCCCUUCAGUGCCGCAGUUAACGCAUUAAGCACUCCGCCUGGGGAGUACGACCGCAAGGUUGAAACUCAAAGGAAUUGACGGGGGCCCGCACAAGCAGCGGAGCAUGUGGUUUAAUUCGAAGCAACGCGAAGAACCUUACCUAGACUUGACAUCUCCUGCAUUACUCUUAAUCGAGGAAGUCCCUUCGGGGACAGGAUGACAGGUGGUGCAUGGUUGUCGUCAGCUCGUGUCGUGAGAUGUUGGGUUAAGUCCCGCAACGAGCGCAACCCUUAUUGUUAGUUGCCAUCAUUAAGUUGGGCACUCUAGCGAGACUGCCCGGGUUAACCGGGAGGAAGGUGGGGAUGACGUCAAAUCAUCAUGCCCCUUAUGUCUAGGGCUACACACGUGCUACAAUGGUCGGUACAAUAAGACGCAAGCCCGCGAGGGGGAGCAAGACUGGAAAACCGAUCUCAGUUCGGAUUGUAGGCUGAAACUCGCCUACAUGAAGCUGGAGUUGCUAGUA
rnacentral:rRNA from 1 species